rnacentral:rRNA from 2 species
GUCGUCAGCUCGUGUCGUGAGAUGUUGGGUUAAGUGCCAUAACGAGCGCAACCCUCAUCGUUAGUUACCAUCAGGUGAAGCUGGGGACUCUAACGAGACUGCCAUCGUAAGAUGCGAGGAAGGUGGGGAUGACGUCAAAUCAUCAUGCCCUUUAUGUCCUGGGCUACACACGUGCUACAAUGGUCGGUACAACGAGAAGCGACAUAGUGAUGUGAAGCAAAUCUCUGAAAGCCGAUCCCAGUUCGGAUUGCAGGCUGCAACUCGCCUGCAUGAAGUCGGAGUUGCUAGUAAUCGCGAAUCAGAAUGUCGCGGUGAAUACGUUCCCGGGA